rnacentral:lncRNA from 1 species
AUACUGAGUGAGUUUCUAWAAUCUACCUGCCUCUCUUGUAGGCAACCCACUCAGAAGUAGCAGUGAAAACCUGGAUCCCAGUGAUUUCCAAUGCAUGGUUUUAGACCCUUGAAAUACUGGAGGCGACUCUUCAGCAAGAGGACCAAAUCCCUGCCCUAAAUACAGCGAUAGUCUUUGGGGUGUCUCGACCACGCUCUCAUAGUCGCUUUGCCUUCAUAAAGGAUGCGUGUUUGUCAGGCUCGAAAGACUCCGCGCCUCCAGAAGCAUCAUCCAGUGACGCCAGGCAAUGGGAAAGAACCUCUGUGUUUCAGCUGAGUUUCUCUAAUAGAGAWGCCACCGUGCUUUUUCACCAGAACUGUGUGAAACCCCCGGGUGUGUCGGAACAGAAGGAGCCCUGUCUCGGAGGCACACAGGUACGCUGCUUCUCUGGUUUGCUGACUAG